GACGAACGCUGGCGGCGUGCCUAAUACAUGCCAGUCGAGCGAAGUUUUUCUGGUGCUUGCACUAGAAAAACUUAGCGGCGAACGGGUGAGUAACACGUAAAGAACCUGCCUCAUAGACUGGGACAACUAUUGGAAACGAUAGCUAAUACCGGAUAACAGUAUUUCUCGCAUGAGAGAUAUUUAAAAGUUGGUUAUGCUAACACUAUGAGAUGGCUUUGCGGUGCAUUAGCUAGUUGGUGGGGUAGAGGCCCACCAAGGCGACGAUGCAUAGCCGACCUGAGAGGGUGAUCGGCCACACUGGGACUGAGACACGGCCCAGACUCCUACGGGAGGCAGCAGUAGGGAAUCUUCCGCAAUGGGCGAAAGCCUGACGGAGCAACGCCGCGUGAGUGAAGAAGGAUUUCGGUUCGUAAAGCUCUGUUGUUAGGGAAGAAUGGAUAUGUAGUAACUAUACAUGUAAGAGACGGUACCUAACCAGAAAGCCACGGCUAACUACGUG
rnacentral:rRNA from 1 species